rnacentral:rRNA from 1 species
CAGCCGCCGCGGUAAUACCGGCGGCCCGAGUGGCGGUCACUAUUAUUGGGCUUAAAGCGUCCGUAGCCGGGUUGGGAAGUCCUCCGGGAAAUCUGGCCGCUUAACGGUCAGAAUGCCGGAGGAUACUCCCAGCCUAGGGAGCGAGAGAGGCCGAGGGUAUUCCCGGAGUAGGGGUGAAAUCCUAUAAUCCCGGGAGGACCACCUGUGGCGAAGGCGCUCGGCUGGAACGCGUCCGACGGUGAGGGACGAAGGCCAGGGGAGCAAACCGGAUUAGAUACCCGGGUAGUCCUGGCUGUAAACGAUGCGGACUUUGUGUCGGACAAGCUAUGAGCUUGUCCGGUGCCGGAGGGAAACCGUUAAGUCCGCCGCCUGGGGAGUACGGCCGCAAGGCUGAAACUUAAAGGAAUUGGCGGG